AAGAGGGGACAGAGCAGAGGCUGGGAAGAGGCAGAGCAUGGAAUGAGUUAUUGACAGAAACAGGGACUGUUUUGGCUCGACCCUGCACUGCCUCUUCCCUGGCCGUCGCCUCUUCCUCUGC
rnacentral:pre_miRNA from 1 species